UACGGAGGGUGCAAGCGUUAAUCGGAAUUACUGGGCGUAAAGCGUGCGCAGGCGGUUUGCUAAGACCGAUGUGAAAUCCCCGGGCUUAACCUGGGAACUGCAUUGGUGACUGGCAAGCUAGAGUGUGGCAGAGGGGGGUAGAAUUCCACGUGUAGCAGUGAAAUGCGUAGAGAUGUGGAGGAAUACCGAUGGCGAAGGCAGCCCCCUGGGCCAACACUGACGCUCAUGCACGAAAGCGUGGGGAGCAAACAGG
rnacentral:rRNA from 1 species